rnacentral:rRNA from 1 species
UGACCUCGGAUCAGGUAGAAA